rnacentral:rRNA from 1 species
AACGAACGCUGGCGGCAUGCCUAACACAUGCAAGUCGAACGAGACCUUCGGGUCUAGUGGCGCACGGGUGCGUAACGCGUGGGAACCUGCCCUUAGGUUCGGCAUAACUCCCCGAAAGGGGUGCUAAUACCGGAUAAUGUCUUCUGACCAAAGAUUUAUCGCCUUUGGAUGGGCCCUCGUUGGAUUAGCUAGUUGGUAGGGUAAGAGCCUACCAAGGCGAGGAUCCAUAGCUGGUCAGAGAGGCUGAUCAGCCACACUGGGACUGAGAAACGGCCGAGACUCCUACGGGAGGCAGGAGUGGGGAAUAGUGGAACAUGGCGGAAAGCAUGAACCAGCAAUGACGGGUGAGUGAUGAAGGCCUUAGGGUUGUAAAGCUCUUUUAACCGGGAUGAUAAUGACAGUACCGGGAGAAUAAGCCCCGGCUAACUCCGUG